rnacentral:rRNA from 1 species
UACAGAGGGUGCGAGCGUUGUCCGGAAUCACUGGGCGUAAAGAGCGUGUAGGCGGCCCGGUAAGUCCGCUGUGAAAGUCCAGGGCUCAACCCUGGGAUGCCGGUGGAUACUGUCGGGCUCGAGUCCGGAAGAGGAGUGUGGAAUUCCUGGUGUAGCGGUGAAAUGCGCAGAUAUCAGGAGGAACACCAAUGGCGAAGGCAGCACUCUGGGACGUGACUGACGCUGAGACGCGAAAGCGUGGGGAGCAAACAGG